UACUACCGAAGCUACGGCAUCAGUAAUGAUGGGUAGGGGAGCUUCCCAUACGGGUUGAAGCAUGACCGUAAGGACAUGUGGACAGUAUGGGAGUGAGAAUGUUGGCAUGAGUAGCGAGAUGUGGGUGAGAAUCCCACAGGCCGUAAACCCAAGGUUUCCAGGGGAAGGUUCGUCCGCCCUGGGUUAGUCGGGACCUAAGCUGAGGCCGAAAGGCGUAGGUGAUGGACAACAGGUUGAUAUUCCUGUACUACCGAUAACCGUUUGAGGGAAGGGAUGACACAGUAGGAUAAGCUAAGCACACUGUUGGUUAUGUGUGCCCAAGCAUUGAGGCAGUCAAAGUAGGCAAAUCCGCUUUGAUAAUGCUGGGAUGUGAUGGGGAGCGAAAUUUAGUAGCGAAGUAGCUGAUUUCACACUGUCAAGAAAAGUCUCUAUCGAGGUUAAAGGUACCCGUACCG
rnacentral:rRNA from 1 species